rnacentral:tRNA from 1 species
GUCCUGUUAGCCUAGUGGUUAAGGCUAUGGAUCGCCAAUCCGAAGAUGACGGGUUCGAUUCCCUUUCUGAUCG